rnacentral:tRNA from 1 species
GCGAGUAGUUUAAUGGAUAGAACACCGCUUUGCCGAAGACGGAGGUGGGGGUUCGAUUCCCUCCUGGU